rnacentral:lncRNA from 1 species
UGGUCUUCUCUCCAUUUCUGUAACCAUGCAUUUUAGUGCAGUUUGAUAUGAGGUUCUGUAAUUGAUGCAAGUUGACUAAUUUGUUUUACGAUUCACACGGGAGUAAAGAGGGCCAGAAAAAUACUAAAAUACUAAAAGAAAAGUUUCUUGAUAUACAAGUUUCUUGAUAUUUUUAGAGUAAAAAGCAGUUUGCCCCCUAAACUAAUGUCCGUUUUGCACUUUGCCCCCCAAACAAAAAAAAUUUGCACGUUCUUACCUGAACUCCGUUUUUUGUUGCACGGUGCCUCAAAAUUGGAAUUUUCAGGUCAUUUUGAUCGGAAUCUUGCACAUGUGCUUUUCACGUGAGUUUUAAGGGGGCAAAAGAGUCUAUUCCUUACAUUCUUCAUAGUAAAUAAAAAAAAAACAAAAAAAAAAAAAAAAAAAAAAGAAUGAAAGAAAAUAAGGGGCUGCUGAUCUGCCAUUUCGGAACCAGCUUCGUCUUCAUCUGUAUCAACCACGGCGGCGCCAACGAGACCCCCUCUCCCCUCGUAAUCGAUUCCGUCUCCCGUUCGCCGAUUCUCUCUCUUCAGGACACCGUCGGAGUUGGGUGGCGUCGCAUCGAUGCUUCCGCUGUACUUCUCCAGAUCUCUAAGUUGGGUCUCUGUUCCGAGGUAACAUUCUUAGCAAAUUUGCAGAGUUAUAUCUCUCUUCAUGUGAGUGGGAAAAUUGGCAGCGUUUCUGGUGGAGGAUGAAGUUGAGGGUUUCCACAUAUAGAUGGAAAAGCCGCCGGAUGUAGCGUCGAAUUUGCAGGCAGAGCAGUGUGAGUUUCCAUCGUUGGGUCUGCAGAGGAGCAGUGUAGAUGGUCAAAAGAAUCCAAAAUUUUCAUUCCAAAAAAAUCCCAAAUUCAAUUCAAUCAAAAUGUAUUAGAUGAUUCUAUCUUGGCUUCGGAUCUUGGAUUUGUUGGAAGAGGAAAUAAUGAUAUCUCCCCCACAAGCUGAAACCUACACUCAAAUCCCCCACACACAUUUUCUUCUUCUCUAAUUCUUCUUUGCACAAAAUUUGCCACCCAUCAAUUUCUUUUUGCUUUCACACAUUUUAUAGUUUACAGUUUGAAAAUUUUUCUGAGGAGCAGGUUCUCUCCAGUGGCAGAUUUCCCCACCUUGUUUUUCACUUUUUUUUUUUUUUUUUAAUUUACUAUGAAGAAUGUAAGGAAUAGACUCUUUUGCCCCCUUAAAACUCACGUGAAAAGCACAUGUGCAAGAUUCCGAUCAAAAUGACCUGAAAAUUCCAAUUUUGAGGCACCGUGCAACAAAAAACGGAGUUCAGGUAAGAACGUGCAAAUUUUUUUUGUUUGGGGGGCAAAGUGCAAAACGGACAUUAGUUUAGGGGGCAAACUGCUUUUUACUCAUAUUUUUAUGAGAGUUUUUUUACCAUCGGCGCCAGGACACAAAUCCGAGAAUAAACUCGUUAAAACCUGUUGCAUUUCUUACAAAUAAGGUCAAAAUAGACAGUAACCGAAAUUUUAAAAAAUGGUUUACUAUAUCAAUUAUAGUCGGAAAAUAUGCUCUUUGUUAGUGCAUUGUCUAAACUGAGAAAUUACUCAAUCAGUUAUCCGAUAAAACAGUCAAUAGAACCAACUGAAAAAUAACUAAUUAUUUCAAGUAUUUGAAAAUAGACAAGAUAAAAAGGUUAUGACCUUAGUGAAAAAAAAGCUGGGCAACAGUUAAUGGCAUGGGAAUUUAAUGCGAGGUAGAUAGCAAAACCAGUGCAUUUAAUGUUGAGACCAAGUCCUGGGAAGUGAAGUGUAUACUAGAGGCUAAAUGACACAUUACUCCCUACAUAUAAUUCACCUAGCUGCCUGCCGACAAGCAUCGAACGUAUGCACAAAUCAAACUACUCCCCCCUGUCUAAAAUCUUGUGAUUAUGAUUCAAGAAAAUGUAAAUGUUCUUAUUAUUAACUACUGAUGAGUGCUGAAUUAACAGUAAUGUAAAAGGAAAGACGGGAGAAGUUUUUUCUUAAUUACGGGUAUUAAAAUUGUAAAGUGGUGCCAGCCUAAAAUGUUUAAGCGGAAAACAGGCACAUGGAUAUCGAGAGAAAAGAUAAGAUAAUUAAUGAAAUUGACUAAGAUAGCAUUCAUUGCACAUGUAAGUAUAGCUAGGCUUUAGUUGUGCUGUUUCAAUUAAAUCAGGCAGUUGAAGGAAAAACAGCAGUAAGCACAUACUUGAAACGGGGUCUACUUGAGAAAAUGAACUUCGUCUUUCCACCACUUGAUCUCUGAGAAUGCAGGGCCUCCAUUGUAAAGAACCCUCGAGCCCAAAUGUCAAAGCUUUGUAUGGACCACACCGACAUUAGAUCUGGGAUCCAACGCAGAUCUGAAAUGAGUUCAAAUCAGAUUUUCCACUAAUUAACUUC